CCGCGGGGAGCUCGCCCCGGGGACCGGGGCUGCAGCGAGCGAGGAGGCGCACCGGGACACCCUUUCCCCGGACCGCCCGCCUGAUCGCAACGAUGGAGCCCAGCUGGGCAGGGCUUCCCCUCAUAAGCCCCUAAUAAACGCUGCCCUGCCUUGUCUGGCCGCGUCGGGUUGUUGCUCCUGUUUCAGUUUGCGCUUCCCUCCCCAUCGCCGGCGAAGGUUACAGUUAACAUCAGAAUGGCUACCCUUAGCCUGUCACUCUGCCAGUGUGGCAUAACAAAUGCCUGGAAGAUAGCAGGUGCAUGGCAAUUCCUCCUUGGGAAGGUCUCCUUGUUCCAGGGGCAUGGGCUACUGGAAAGACCUUAACCACAUGCAGCAACUGAAAUAUUUUACAGGAAACCCUACCAGGAUGACAUACUGCAAAGAAGCAAAGACUGCAAGUUAGGACAUCAACUUUGAAAGCACCCCAAAAGCAGAACCACUUCAUGAAGCCUGGAUCUGUACUGCUGGCCCCAUGAAGGUCUGGAGCUUCUGAAUUUGAAGAAAAAGUAAAAAAGCAAAAGUCAUCCUAGGAGAAAAGCUGUUCUGUAUAGCAUGAUAACCCUGUCAGGAAACAGAAGACAAAGUCCUGCCUGACCUAAAGCUGUGGAAAACCUUGAACUCACAAGAAAAGGCUCACUGACGGCUUCAAAGAAACAAGAGGAUAAACAUAAAACUGAUCUUCCAACCACACAAUAGCAUCUUAGAGGGUCUGAGAGAAAGUUCCAGUCAAAUCCACAAGCA